CUGGAUUGAGUUCAGUUGCUAACGGUCAAUGAUGUAAUCAGUCAUGUACUUGUGAUGAAGUCUCCAUAGCAACCCAAAGGACAGGGUUCUGAGAGCUUCUGGGUUGGUGGAUAAGUGGAGGUGCUGGGAGUGUGGCACCCUGGAGGGGACAUGGAAGCUCCGUGUGUGUUCUUUCCCCGUGUAUUUCCUUACACAUCUCUUCCCUCUGGUUGCUUCUGGGUUAUAUCCUUUUAUGAUAAAAGCUCUUUCCUACAUCAGGAGGCUCCUUAUGUACCUAUGUGCAAACCCCAGCCCGCAAGUCCAGCCCUUCUAUGUGAAAGGAACCCCUCAGGCCGCUUUUAGACACGGAGGAAUGAUGCCAGCGGCUGAGUCUGUUCUCACAAGGACCUAUCCUUGGGUGAGGCCUCGCAGCAUCCUAGACCCGGUUACAGUCAGCGAGAACCAGCCAGUUCUCCCAGGAUGUGAGGAGGUGAUGUCCCCAGAGCAGCCUACAGAGAUAGCUCCAAGUUGGAAUGGCUUUGCUGUUGGUGGCGGGGAGCUAAAUAUUUCAUCUUCAUAAAAUAAACAUAGAUCGUCUCAUCAUGAAAUAUAC
rnacentral:lncRNA from 1 species